AACGAACGCUGGCGGCAGGCUUAACACAUGCAAGUCGAGCGCCCCGCAAGGGGCGCGGCAGACGGGUGAGUAACGCGUGGGAACGUACCUUUUGGUUCGGAACAACUCCGGGAAACUGGAGCUAAUACCGGAUAAGCCCUAACGGGGAAAGAUUUAUCGCCGAAAGAUCGGCCCGCGUCUGAUUAGCUAGUUGGUGAGGUAACGGCUCACCAAGGCGACGAUCAGUAGCUGGUCUGAGAGGAUGAUCAGCCACACUGGGACUGAGACACGGCCCAGACUCCUACGGGAGGCAGCAGUGGGGAAUAUGGGACAAUGGGCGCAAGCCUGAUCCAGCCAUGCCGCGUGAGUGAUGAAGGCCUUAGGGUUGUAAAGCUCUUUUGUCCGGGAAGAUAAUGACUGUACCGGAAGAAUAAGCCCCGGCUAACUUCGU
rnacentral:rRNA from 1 species